rnacentral:rRNA from 1 species
AACGAACGCUGGCGGCAUGCCUAACACAUGCAAGUCGAACGAUGCUUUCGGGCAUAGUGGCGCACGGGUGCGUAACGCGUGGGAAUCUGCCCUUGGGUUCGGAAUAACAGUGAGAAAUUGCUGCUAAUACCGGAUGAUGUCUUCGGACCAAAGAUUUAUCGCCCAGGGAUGAGCCCGCGUAGGAUUAGCUAGUUGGUGGGGUAAUGGCCUACCAAGGCGACGAUCCUUAGCUGGUCUGAGAGGAUGAUCAGCCACACUGGUACUGAGACACGGCCCAGACUCCUACGGGAGGCAGCAGUGGGGAAUAUUGGACAAUGGGCGCAAGCCUGAUCCAGCAAUGCCGCGUGAGUGAUGAAGGCCUUAGGGUUGUAAAGCUCUUUUACCCGGGAUGAUAAUGACAGUACCGGGAGAAUAAGCUCCGGCUAACUCCGUG